GCUGCCUUACAUUUAUCCGAUUCACAAAAGGCAAUUCAAUCUCUCUAUCAUGUACGUGCUGGUGUACCUCAGGGCAGCGUACUGGACCCAAUAGUGUAUCAAGUAUACACAGCUGACGACCACCUUUAUCUUUCCAGACGAUCCAGCAAGUCUUUGAAGUAAUAACUAUCCCAUACUUUGUCUCGAUGCAGCAUCGUCCCCACACUGCUCGAAUCUUUGUGCAAGAUAAAGGGUAUGGUUUGUCAUGCUGUUCGGGAUUGAGACGCGUUUUUCCGUGCAAGUAAGUACCUCACCUGAUUGCCUAAUGCCGAAAAUUGCAAAGUGAACACAACCCCACCCAUAGGACCAGGAACCAUUUCGUAAAAUUUCAAACUGCGAGGAAAUACAGAAAUUGCCAAUGGAUCUAGUUUGAUACAACUAUGUGGACCAGCCUAGGACAGAGGCUAGAUGCAGGCAUGAAACCAUCGCAUAAACUUAUAAGUUAUUAGCUAUCUCAAUUACUUAGAAAAUGUCGACCAGCAUUGCCAAAGAUGAAAUUCUGAAAUCGGAAAUGCAGUCCAAUUUUGUACGGCUGUACCUGCGCCAUGUUGUGUGAACGGCGGAGGAGGACUUAUUCGUCUGGACGUCAUUAGCGUCCGGAUGCUCCAGACACGACGGCAGCCGGCAAAAACGUAACGCAGUUCAUUAGGUGGUCGAAGACGGCUACGGUCUAUAGAUUUUCGGAAACCACACAUGGUGUCGGCUCACACGAUAGAUGUAUGAAAUUUCCACCGCUGAAAAAAAAAAACCGAAACAGUAGACCUGACAGAACUCAACGAAGAAAUGUUACUUGUUUUUAAUGUAAUGGAUUUAUUAUUUAGGUAGUCUGGAACAUGAAGGAUCAAAUUGAGGCUGAAGUUCGAAACUUGUAAACACAAUACA